rnacentral:rRNA from 1 species
UACGGAGGGUGCGAGCGUUGUUCGGAAUCACUGGGCGUAAAGGGCGUGUAGGCGGUCCGCUAAGUCUGAUGUGAAAGCCCGGGGCUCACCCCCGGAAGUGCAUUGGAAACUGGCGGACUCGAGUCCCGGAGAGGAGAGUGGAAUUCCUGGUGUAGCGGUGAAAUGCGUAGAUAUCAGGAGGAACACCCGUGGCGAAGGCGGCUCUCUGGGACGGUACUGACGCUGAGACGCGAAAGCGUGGGGAGCGAACAGG